rnacentral:rRNA from 1 species
GAUGAACGCUGGCGGCGUGCCUAACACAUGCAAGUCGAGCGGAAGGACGAGGAGUUUGUGCCAUUGCCGAUAGCGGCGGACGGGUGAGUAACAAGCGGAUAACCUACCUGUCCUUCUGGGAUAACUAAGGGAAAGAGGAGCUAAUACCUGAUGAUAUUUUGAACCUCAUGGUUCACGAGUGAGACACGGUCUUUCUGGCAGUUAUAGAUGGAUCCGCGCUGCUUUAGAUAGUUGGUAAGGUCACGGCAUAGCAAGGCAACGAGGCAUUGCCGAUGUGAGAGGGGGAUAGGCCACCCUGGACCUGAGACGCGGUCCAGACUCCUACGGGAGGCAGCAGAAGGGAAUGGUCCGCAAUGGGCGGGAGCCUGGCGGAACAACGCCAAGUGGGUGGCAGAGGUCCUCGGAUCGUAAUUCUCUGCUACUAGGGAAGAACAUAUGUGUAAGUAACGGUGGACUUCUUGACGGUACCGAAUCAAAAAGCACCGGCUAACUACGUG